UGGAUCAGGAAAAGGGGAAGAGGAGGGGAGGGAUCUUUCUGUGUCCCCCCCCCAUACCUUCCCUCCUAUAUCCUCCCUGCCCCUUUCCUUGUUCUUUCUGCAGUUACUGCUUUUGAAGAAUUAGCCUGAGAGAAGGAAGGAAAGCACCUGGAAGGGUUUUUAUCCUCUGAGGAUGGCUUGUAAGUCCUGUGUCUUUGAGGACUAGAAUGAGCAUCUCAUGAGAAGCAAAGCAGGACCAUGAAAUCUGGGAGAACUUAGUCAUCCACUUCCUCUCCGUUGCCUUCAAACAGAAAUUCCAGCCUGAAAUCCGUUUUAGAGGGAAAACACACACCUAUUAUAAUGGACCAGGAGCUGACAACUACCCAGCCUUUCCGGUUUGAGCCCGAACUGUCGCUGAAUGUGUAAUCUUCACUGUAACUGACUAUCACACUUGAAAGCCAGCCCUACCUGGGUUUACUCUGGGCACUCAUGCAGCUGGGACCUUCUCACCUGUAGGCCCUGCCAGCACUUCCAGCAGUCUUCAUCACUAGAUCAAUUUUGACAUGGUCAUAUUGCUUUUUUAUUUUUUGGCUGCGCUGGGUCUUUGUUGCUGCUUAAGGGCUUUCUCUAGGGCCAUGCGGGGCAGGGGGCGGUUACUCUCUAGUUGUGGUACACAGGCUUCUCAUUAUGGUGGCUGCUCUUGUUGCCGAGCACGGGCUUUAGAACACGUGGGCUCAAUAGUUGUGGUGCACAGGUUUAGUCCUCCCCCUGCCUCGUGGUGAAGGGAAUGGCAACCCACUCCAGUGUUCUUGCCUGGAGAAUCCCAUGGACAGAGGAGCCUGGCAGGCUACAGUCCACAGGAUCGCAGAGUCGGACCUAACUUAGUGACUAAACCACCACCACCACCACCUGCCUCGUGGAACGUGGGAUCCCUAGUGGAUCAGAGAUUGAACUCGUAUCCCUGGGUGGCUUUAGCUUCCCUAGGAACCUACUGCUGGAAUGGUUACAUUCUAGUGGGAAAGGCCAGGUUUGCUGCUAAACAUUCUACAGCAUACAGGCCAGCCUCCUAUAGGAAAAGAUUAUCCAACCAAAAAUAUCCACAGUGCUGAAGUUGAGAAAUCCUCUUCCAGAGUGACAGCAACACCUCAAUAAUUAAGUCUGAAUAUUAUGAACUGCCAGAAAUCAUCUGGAAGUGACGGCUUUUGCACAGCUUCCUGGUGAAAACUGAGAAACUACAAGAAACUAUUAACCACUCUAAUGCUUCAAUCAAGUAUCAGCUGGACACCUACCAAGAACCACACUUUCUUUAAACUGGAAUAUGAAUGUAUGUAUUCUUUAUUAGGAUGCUCACAAGAAUGACACAUUAGCACUGUCCUUCUGGUGGGACAGAGAAUACACAUCUGACCCACAUCACAGCAGGAGACAGGCCCAGGUAACGGCUCUCAGAGCUGGUACAAGGGUCCACUGAAGAAAUUGCCUUUCAGCAAAGCGAGGAUGCUUCCUUGGAUUCCAUCAUCUCUGCUGCAGCUUCCGGUCAGUCCUCUGUGAUGGGCCCAGAAUCCUUCAUUCCAGAACUUCUCGCCAUGCCUUCAAGACCUAGGUCAACUGGCCCAUGUCUCACUCACCUGGGCACCUCUGGAAUUUGGCAGCAUGUCUCUUUGGUAUGCUGCUGCCCUGCCACCCUCAGGAGGCAAAGGUGGGAGUUGGGGGGGAAUACAACAUUACCAAAAGCAAACAGCAGGGGUACAUCAGCAACGGACACUUCGGUUGUUUGGUACACCCAACAACCUCACAGAACACGUGCUUCCUCCCCAAAUGAUACAUAAUGCCCUGCAGAGCAAAGGAGACCCCUUAAUGAUUCAGACACACGUGCAA